AUGCAAGUCGUACGCUUCUUUUUCCACCGGAGCUUGCUCCACCGGAAAAAGAGGAGUGGCGAACGGGUGAGUAACACGUGGGUAACCUGCCCAUCAGAAGGGGAUAACACUUGGAAACAGGUGCUAAUACCGUAUAACAAUCGAAACCGCAUGGUUUUGAUUUGAAAGGCGCUUUCGGGUGUCGCUGAUGGAUGGACCCGCGGUGCAUUAGCUAGUUGGUGAGGUAACGGCUCACCAAGGCCACGAUGCAUAGCCGACCUGAGAGGGUGAUCGGCCACAUUGGGACUGAGACACGGCCCAAACUCCUACGGGAGGCAGCAGUAGGGAAUCUUCGGCAAUGGACGAAAGUCUGACCGAGCAACGCCGCGUGAGUGAAGAAGGUUUUCGGAUCGUAAAACUCUGUUGUUAGAGAAGAACAAGGAUGAGAGUAACUGUUCAUCCCUUGACGGUAUCUAACCAGAAAGCCACGGCUAACUACGUGCCAGCAGCCGCGGUAAUACGUAGGUGGCAAGCGUUGUCCGGAUUUAUUGGGCGUAAAGCGAGCGCAGGCGGUUUCUUAAGUCUGAUGUGAAAGCCCCCGGCUCAACCGGGGAGGGUCAUUGGAAACUGGGAGACUUGAGUGCAGAAGAGGAGAGUGGAAUUCCAUGUGUAGCGGUGAAAUGCGUAGAUAUAUGGAGGAACACCAGUGGCGAAGGCGGCUCUCUGGUCUGUAACUGACGCUGAGGCUCGAAAGCGUGGGGAGCAAACAGGAUUAGAUACCCUGGUAGUCCACGCCGUAAACGAUGAGUGCUAAGUGUUGGAGGGUUUCCGCCCUUCAGUGCUGCAGCUAACGCAUUAAGCACUCCGCCUGGGGAGUACGACCGCAAGGUUGAAACUCAAAGGAAUUGACGGGGGCCCGCACAAGCGGUGGAGCAUGUGGUUUAAUUCGAAGCAACGCGAAGAACCUUACCAGGUCUUGACAUCCUUUGACCACUCUAGAGAUAGAGCUUCCCCUUCGGGGGCAAAGUGACAGGUGGUGCAUGGUUGUCGUCAGCUCGUGUCGUGAGAUGUUGGGUUAAGUCCCGCAACGAGCGCAACCCUUAUUGUUAGUUGCCAUCAUUCAGUUGGGCACUCUAGCAAGACUG
rnacentral:rRNA from 1 species